AUGCUGCUGAAGCAGCAAUCCCAUAGACAGAUGAGCGUACUGCAAGCCUCUGCUCAGAGUCCUUGGUUUCCUCCAGAUCGGAUUUGGUAAGAGAAACAACAGGUAAAUGCAUGGAGUCCUGAUUGAGUUUUGCUUUAGUGGCAGCUGCCUCUGCUUUCUUUUCUAGUGAGGAUGUUACAAAUUGUAAGCCAUAAUAUCUUCUCAAAUCUUUGGCCUGCAAAUUGAUUGAUGAAGUUAGUUAAACUAGAUGCAUUUUCUAUAUGUAUCUGCUCAAGUCUUUAUUCUUUGGGGUAGGUGGAAAACUACAGAGUUUUGUGCUUUCUUUGGAGUUUGGAUCAUACAAUGAAUGAGAAGAGAGAAGAGAGAAGAGAUUUCUUACACUGACUGAUAAGUAUGUUUUGCAUGUCAUAAUUUAGCAAAUCCAAAAGUAUGCCAAAUAUCUGAAUCUCGGUUAGGCAGUAAUGUGUUACAAUUAGCUAAUCAAUGCUUGAUUUUCAUAUGCAUAUAUAGGCACAAUUUCUAAAGAAAGCGGUUUCCAGAGAAAGGUGAAUUCUCUCUAUAAAUAGCCUGAGAUUUUGACUAUGCAGUCACUGAUUAGAUUUUGUGUGAUUUCAGUAUUUUUGAAUGUAAGAAGAGUAGAUAAUGGGUCUAAUAUUAAGGUAACUCGCACCUGAUACUUAUGAAAAUAAGAGACUGACUUAUAAAAGCUUCACUUGCGGAUUUGCAGGACAUUAUGAAGAGAAGAAAGAGGCAUACCUUAAUCUCAGGUAUAACAUAAGCCAUGUUGCACAAGAAAGCCAACUUAGAGAUUGGCUUGAUAUCGGACCAUGGUACAUGAGCCAAAAAUCUUG
rnacentral:lncRNA from 1 species